rnacentral:rRNA from 1 species
UACGUAGGGCGCAAGCGUUGUCCGGAAUUAUUGGGCGUAAAGAGCUCGUAGGCGGCCAGUUGCGUCUGCUGUGAAAUCCCGGGGCUCAACCCCGGGCGUGCAGUGGAUACGGGCUGGCUAGAGGCAGGCAGGGGAGAACGGAAUUCCCGGUGUAGCGGUGAAAUGCGCAGAUAUCGGGAGGAACACCGGUGGCGAAGGCGGUUCUCUGGGCCUUACCUGACGCUCAGGUGCGAAAGCUAGGGGAGCGAACCAGGAGUUAGAAA